rnacentral:rRNA from 1 species
UACGUAGAGACCAAGCGUUGUCCGGAAUCAUUGGGCGUAAAGAGCGUGUAGGCGGCUUGUUAAGUCUUGCGUGAAAUCUCGGGGCUCAACCCCGAGCGGUCGUGAGAAACUGGCAGGCUAGAGUGCGGGAGAGGAGAGUGGAAUUCCUGGUGUAGCGGUGAAAUGCGCAGAUAUCAGGAAGAACACCCGUGGCGAAGGCGGCUCUCUGGAACGCAACUGACGCUGAGACGCGAAAGCGUGGGGAGCAAACAGG